rnacentral:rRNA from 1 species
GACGAACGCUGGCGGCGGGCUUAACACAUGCAAGUCGAACGGAAAGGCCCUGCUUGUGUGUGGUGCUCGAGUGGCGAACGGGUGAGUAACACGUGAGUAACCUGCCCUUGACGUUGGGAUAACUUCAGGAAACUGGGGCUAAUACCGGAUAGGAGCUCCUGCUGCAUGGUGGGGGUUGGAAAGUUUCGGCGGUUGGGGAUGGACGCGGGGCUUAUCAGCUUGUUGGUGGGGUAGUGGCUUACCAAGGCUUUGACGGGUAGCCGGCCUGAGAGGGUGACCAGGCACAUUGGGACUGAGAUACGGACCAGAGUCCUACGGGAGGCAGUAGUGGGGAAUAUUGCACAAUGGGCGGGAGCCUGAUGCAGCAACGCUGCGUGCGGGAUGACGGUCUUCGGGUUGUAAACCGCUUUAGGCUGUGACGAAGCGGGAGUGACGGUAAUGGGUAAAGAAGCACCGGCUAACUACGUG